AUUGAACGCUGGCGGCAUGCUUUACACAUGCAAGUCGAACGGCAGCACGGACUUCGGUCUGGUGGCGAGUGGCGAACGGGUGAGUAAUACAUCGGAACGUACCCAAUAAUGGGGGAUAACUAUCCGAAAGGAUAGCCAAUACCGCAUACGCCCUACGGGGGAAAGAGGGGGAUCGCAAGACCUCUUGUUAUUGGAGCGGCCGAUGGCUGAUUAGCUAGUUGGUGAGGUAAAGGCUCACCAAGGCGACGAUCAGUAGCGGGUCUUAGAGGACGAUCCGCCACACUGGAACUGAGACACGGUCCAGACUCCUACGGGAGGCAGCAGUGGGGAAUCUUGGACAAUGGGCGCAAGCCUGAUCCAGCAAUGCCGCGUGCGUGAAGAAGGCCUUCGGGUUGUAAAGCGCUUUUGUCAGGGAGCAAAUCCUUGUGGCUAAUACCCACCGGGGAUGAGAGUACCUGAAGAAUAAGGACCGGCUAACUACGUGCCAGCCGCCGCAGUAA
rnacentral:rRNA from 1 species